rnacentral:rRNA from 1 species
AUUGAACGCUGGCGGCAGGCCUAACACAUGCAAGUCGAACGAGUGGCGGACGGGUGAGUAAUGUCUGGGAAACUGCCCGGUGGAGGGGGAUAACUACUGGAAACGGUAGCUAAUACCGCAUACUCUCGGAUGGGCCCAGAUGGGAUUAGCUAGUAGGUGGGGUAACGGCUCACCUAGGCGACGAUCCCUAGCUGGUCUGAGAGGAUGCCCAGCCACACUGGAACUGAGACACGGUCCAGCCUCCUACGUGCGGCACCAGUGGGGAAUAUUGCACAAUGGGCGCAAGCCUGAUGCAGCCAUGCCGCGUGUAUGAAGAAGGCCUUCGGGUUGUAAAGUACUUUCAGAGAGGAGGCGUUACUCGAAGAAUAAGCACCGGCUAACUCCGUGCCAGCAGCCGCGGUAAUAC